GAGGACGACGAGAGGUCACUCUCGUCGCCAUUUUGUUUUUGGUGGUUUUUGUCUGGCUUCUUUACCGCAACCUGUUUUAUCAGCAAAGUCUUUAUAACCUGUAUUUUGUGCUGACCUCCUAUCUCAUCCUGUGACUUAGAAUGCCUUAACAACUGUCUGGAAUGCAGCCCGGAUACAGAAAGAAGUCUGCUGUCUAAACCUAGGAAGAGGGCCCUGCCCAGAUACUGAAUAUGCCAGCACCUUGAUCGCGGACUCUCCAGCUUCCAGAACUAUAUUUCAUGAUUCUGAAGAAGAAUUGGAGGUGAGACUUGAGAAAAUGGAGAAAAAGAUAUGCUUUGGAUUUUCUUGAAGACUAGAAGCUUUCUUAACCAUCCACCACCUUGUUGACUGGUUAUUAUUCUCUCUACCUUCUGUGAAACAAACUGAUGGAUACUAAUGGCACAAUUACACUUAUAGCUAGUCAGUUGCAUAGUUUAUGCACAUAGUUCUGCUUCCAGUGUUUAGUAAUGAGUUAAACAUUUUGGCUAUAUUUGUCUCUGAAGCUAUAAUUUCAAUUAAUCAUUAUGUAUAGCAAUAAUAACAAGUAAAACAAAAAGAAGAAUUUUUUGUUUCUAUGGUAAUUAUGUUGGGUGCUUUGGAUCCUCCCAAUAAAGUUGACUUCCUAAAAUAAUUACACUUGAAUUAGGUAUAGAGAAGCUAAUUGUAACAAAUUGAAAGUUACUGUAAAUCUUCUAAUCGUAGUUCUCUGCAAGUGUACUUAAGUUAUUGCUCCACUUGAAAUAAAUGAAAACUGGAAAUCUGAGGUGAUGAAUUAUGGGUCCCUUUUAUGUAAGAAAGAUGACAAGGAAAUCUAAUCUGCUGAGUUAUACUAAAAUAAAAUACCUUGGCCUGGGAUCAAAUAUAGGUGAAAGAAUUAACAUUUAUGUUUUUUAAUUAAGAUAAAAUGUACAAGUUUUAUGUACAUAUUUUAUGAUUUCCUGAUAUAACAAAAAGUGUUGAUAAAAGCACCCAAUACUGAUUCUAAUGACAUUUGAUUAGCAUUAAAGAGUUGCUAUUAUUA
ensembl:lncRNA LINC00348 long intergenic non-protein coding RNA 348